rnacentral:rRNA from 1 species
AAAAAAGGUAAGCUACUAAGAGCGAAUGGUGGAUGCCUUGACUGGUAAAGGCGAUGAAGGACGUACUAGACUGCGAUAAGCUACGGGGAGCUGUCAAGAAGCUUUGAUCCGUAGAUUUCCGAAUGGGGCAACCCAAUGUAUAGAGAUAUACAUUACCUAUAUAGGAGCGAACGAGGGGAAUUGAAACAUCUUAGUACCCUCAGGAAAAGAAAUCAAUAGAGAUUGCGUCAGUAGCGGCGAGCGAAAGCGCAAGAGGGCAAACCCAGUGCUUGCACUGGGGGUUGUAGGACUGCAAUGUGCAAGAGGUAAGUUUAGCAGAACAUUCUGGAAAGUAUAACCAUAGAGGGUGAUAGUCCCGUAUGCGAAAAACAAACCUUAGCUAGCAGUAUCCUGAGUAGGGCGGGACACGAGGAAUCCUGUCUGAAUCCGGGUCGACCACGAUCCAACCCUAAAUACUAAUACCAGAUCGAUAGUGCACAAGUACCGUGAGGGAAAGGUGAAAAGAACUGAGGUGAUCAGAGUGAAAUAGAACCUGAAACCAUUUGCUUACAAUCAUUCAGAGCCCUAUGUAGCAAUACAGGGUGAUGGACUGCCUUUUGCAUAAUGAGCCUGCGAGUUGUGGUGUCUGGCAAGGUUAAGCAAACGCGAAGCCGUAGCGAAAGCGAGUCUGAAUAGGGCGCUUAGUCAGAUGCUGCAGACCCGAAACGAAGUGAUCUAUCCAUGAGCAAGUUGAAGCUAGUGUAAGAACUAGUGGAGGACUGAACCCAUAGGCGUUGAAAAGCCCCGGGAUGACUUGUGGAUAGGGGUGAAAGGCCAAUCAAACUUCGUGAUAGCUGGUUCUCUCCGAAAUAUAUUUAGGUAUAGCGUUGUGUCGUAAUACAAGGGGGUAGAGCACUGAAUGGGCUAGGGCAUACACCAAUGUACCAAACCCUAUCAAACUCCGAAUACCUUAUAUGUAAUCACAGCAGUCAGGCGGCGAGUGAUAAAAUCCGUCGUCAAGAGGGAAACAACCCAGACUACCAGCUAAGGUCCCUAAAUCUUACUUAAGUGGAAAACGAUGUGAAGUUACUUAAACAACCAGGAGGUUGGCUUAGAAGCAGCCAUCCUUUAAAGAAAGCGUAAUAGCUCACUGGUCUAGUGAUUUUGCGCGGAAAAUAUAACGGGGCUAAAGU